rnacentral:rRNA from 1 species
GACGAACGCUGGCGGCGUGCUUAACACAUGCAAGUCGAACGGAAAGGCCCUGCUUUUGUGGGGUGCUCGAGUGGCGAACGGGUGUGUAACACGUGAGUAACCUGCCCUUGACUUUGGGAUAACUUCAGGAAACUGGGGCUAAUACCGGAUAGGAGCUCCUGCUGCAUGGUGGGGGUUGGAAAGUUUCGGCGGUUGGGGAUGGACUCGCGGCUUAUCAGCUUGUUGGUGGGGUAGUGGCUUACCAAGGCUUUGACGGGUAGCCGGCCUGAGAGGGUGACCGGCCACAUUGGGACUGAGGUACGGCCCAGACUCCUACGGGAGGCAGCAGUGGGGAAUAUUGCACAGUGGGCGGAAGCCUGAUGCGGCGACGCCGCGUGCGGGAUGACGGCCUUCGGGUUGUGAACCGCUUUCGCCUGUGCCGAAGCGUGAGUGACGGUAAUGGGUAAGGAAGCACCGGCUAACUACGUG